UACGGAGGGUGCCAGCGUUAUCCGGAUUCACUGGGUUUAAAGGGUGCGUAGGUGGGCCGGUAAGUCCGUGGUGAAAUCUCUGAGCUUAACUCAGAAACUGCCGUGGAUACUAUUUGUCUUGAAUGUUGUGGAGGUGAGCGGAAUAUGUCAUGUAGCGGUGAAAUGCUUAGAUAUGACAUAGAACACCAAUUGCGAAGGCAGCUCACUAGACAAUUAUUGACGCUGAGGCACGAAAGCGUGGGGAUCAAACAGG
rnacentral:rRNA from 1 species